UACGUAGGGCGCAAGCGUUGUCCGGAUUUAUUGGGCGUAAAGAGCUCGUAGGUGGUUCGGUAAGUCAGGUGUGAAACCUCCAGGCUCAACCUGGAGACGCCACUUGAUACUGCUGUGACUGGAGUCCGGUAGGGGAGCGUGGAAUUCCUGGUGUAGCGGUGAAAUGCGCAGAUAUCAGGAGGAACACCAAUGGCGAAGGCAGCUCGCUGGGACGUGACUGACGCUGAGACGCGAAAGCGUGGGGAGCAAACAGG
rnacentral:rRNA from 1 species